UGACUGUGUGGCCACCAUGGCUCCAUGGCAUGAACCACACUAACUCUGGAGUCAUUUCUUCUCCAGAGGCACAUCGAUGAAGCCAUAACUUGAACCCUCCACGAAACGAUCAUCAAAACAAAAGACCAGAUAAGCAGUUAGUCUCUACCACAAUCUGUUCCAGUCAAAAAGAAGAAGCUUUCUGAAUGUGAUAUUAACUCGCAGCUCAGUCUUUGUGUACAGUGCGGUGAGUCAGAGUCGCCGUACAGCCGCGCAGAGCGCACAGAUUGGGGACAGCAGCAGCAGCAGCAGCAGCAGCAGCAGCAGCGGAUGAAUCCAGAUGAGAAGCUUUCUGUGGGGAUGCAUGUGUUUAAUCCUGUCCUCACAUCAGCUCGUCAAACCACCUCGUAGAUUAUAGCCCAGGAUCACUUUCUUUCGCUGCUGCAACCAUAUGGAGAGCGGCGGCGGUGGCACGCACGCACAGCACGCACAGCACGCACCCGGUCCCUCAGACAGAGGAGUCGUCCUCACUGCAACUUGUUGUGAAACAGCUGCAGGGAGAACAGAGGAGAGGACAUCGGUCUCCUUUCGGUCGGACGCGUAAAAGAGGGAGACUUGGAGGUGACAGGCGUGGAGCGCGUGGUGCGUUCAGACGAUCAGUGGUGAGGAAACAGAAGCCCUGAAACAACCACUAGAUGUGGAUCAAGAAGGAGGAGUAGCCAGAUUUCGGUUCCCGGACCGGACAUUUGCCAUCUUGGUGGUGGAAUACUGGCAGAAAGAUGGGCUUGGACUCCAGCCACAGGCACAAAUAAUUUAGCCAACAAGUGAAUUCGCAGACAGACAGACUGGCGAUCGCUGCAGCAUCAGGGAGCAGCAGAUUUUCACUCGCGGGGAUUUGCAGACGGAGGUUACCUGUCAUGCUGCUUAAUACUGUGAUGGAGUGAGGAGGCAACAGGCCAGUAUUCCGUGCACCCCCCCCCCAUCCCUCUCUGUCCUCGCUGCGUGGAACAGAGCAGGUGAGAAACAUUAACAGAGGCAGCAGCAGCAGCAGCUGUGGCCCUCUGCUCCACACAUGUGAGCCAGGAUAUGAGCUAGUUCAAGCUCGCCCACUCUCAAACAUCGGUCAUUACUGUUAACACUCUCCUCUCUGAAGCAAAGAGUGUGUAGGAGAAAAAAAAAGCUGAAACGAGGUGGAAGCAGCACAAACCGUUGCUUAGAGAAAAAAGAUGUUUGAAUUCCAUGCACUUUAUCAUAAAGUAUGCUGUGAAGAGUUAUCAUUAGCUUUAGUGCAGGGGUUGGAAAACAUUUAGACUUGUGACCCCUUAAAACCAAACUCUUCCUUCUCAAACCCUCGUGUCACAGGUUGCAGAGAGUUGUACGUUUUGUUUUAAGGAGCUCAACCAAAGAGAUAUUUCAAUCAUUUUCUUUCAUUUGAAACAUCUUUGGAAGCCUGGAGAUGUCCAAUAAAACUUUCACAACUAGAAAAUUACUCAGUAGAGCUCGUAACUCCGCCAUGGUCCGACAGCCCCCUUAUGAAAAACCUUUAAAUUCACUAGAUCUGUAUUCUCACUUGAUCUGCAGAAAAUAUCAGUCUCGUAAAUAAGAAAAAAAAAAAAAAAAAGCCAUUAAUUAUUCUCUGUGAAAUAAUGGACAAUUAUAAAAAACACCCUAUUUCAGAAUGUUAAAAAAGAGUGAAUAUCUAAACUGGAUCCACACCAACAUUUAAUUUGUUCCUCCCAAGGUAAGGACCGACCCCUCCACAACAUUUCAUUGAAAUCUGUCGAGCAGUUUUUUGCAUAAUCCUACUAACUCACAAAAGAAUGCCAAAGGAAACAAUAGGUUAUAAAAGUACUUCUCAAUAACACUAUCUUCUAGCUUUCAUCAUGGGUUGACUGAAUGUCUAUGUCUGUUUGGUCUGGAGUUUUUUCAAAUGGACACCAUUAAAUGAAUUGCAUUUUAAAGCCGUUGAGGUUGAACUAGUUUCUAUAAAAUCCUCAUUAUCACGGUGCCCUUUAAAUGGCCUUCUGGUUUCAUUUGAAUAUGAAAACAUCUUGGUUGUAAAAUUUGUUUAGCAUCAUUUGAAUCCCCCCUCAGCUGGAGCCGUGAACCGGAUGACCCAGUCGUCACAUUGUGUUCCCGAGCACAAAGACGCCAGUCACAUGGGGGGAGCUGUCCCAGAGGAGAGUGGCGUGUGUGUAUGUGUGUGUAUUUGUGUUUCUGUGAAUCAUAACCGUAUUCAGCGAGGUGUGUCGAAGCGGCGUCACCUGCGGGAACAGGGGUCCUGAAGGGACUCUUGUUCUUAAAGACUGUCCUUUGGGGUGAGGUAGUAGGUUGUAUAGUUUUAGGGUCAUACCCUUCCUGUCAGAUAACUAUACAAUUUACUGUCUUUCCUGAAGUGGCUGUAAUGUCAUCAGAUGCCAGUGUUGAAGCUGUCGGAUCUCGAUCAACUCGAUGGAAUGUGCGGUAAACGCUUUUCACUGUUAAGAAGAUAACAACAUUUCAAAAUCGCAGGUUGCAUGGGCUUGUAGUUAUUGUUUCUCUCUCAUGAUUUUCAUAUUCUGUACUUCUAAGAAAAAAAUGAUUCAAAGUGUAAUCUUUCUGGUUCUGUUUAUGCUACACAAACAACAAUAAUCAACACAUGAUUUAAAAAUGAGUUAAAACUGAAUGUUGUGUAAACUUUUACAAACACCUGUUCUCAUCUGACUGUCAGCCUUUGUCCUUUUUUCAUGUUUUUGUCUAUUCAACAGUUUUUUUUGUCCAUCUGUAAUCAUCAGUCGUCAAAGUUGUGUUCUCAUAUUUUGUAUUGCCAGUGUUUCAGAAAUAAAAAUGGGAGGUUUUAUUUUCAAAAUGUAUUUAGUAUUAUAAAAUGAUGUCUCUGUUUUGUCACUCCACCAUUAUGCUCCCCAGUGUUGAGGUAAAGCAAAGCUCGCCGCCCUGUAGGAUCACUCUGAUGUCUGUACGGGGUGAGGUAGUAGGUUGUGUGGUUUCAGGGUAGUGAUUUUGCCCAAUCAGAAGAUAACUAUACAACUUACUGCCUUCCCUGAAGGGCAGCAAUACGUCACCAAACAGACAACAGGGGGCGUCAUGUUCACACAUGUCUCACAAAAGAUAAAAACUCCCAGGAUGAGUGAAGCAAACCGGGUCAAACGUCCAGGUCACGAGCUUUUACCUGGACCAGCCACAGCAGGAGAGCGGACGGCAGGUAAAGUCUGUUCAUGUGUGGAAAUUGUAGUUUUUGAUUUUCUGCUUCAAACAAUAAUAAAAGCUAAGAAAUAA